rnacentral:lncRNA from 1 species
UUGGCUAAAAACAUAGUGUUUAUUUUGUGUUUCUUUUCAAGCUGCAUAGAAGGAUGAUCAGUAGUUCAUGCUGCGGUCGGAUUCGCAGCUAAAUUCAUGUUCGCUUGAGUUCCGCACCGGCGAAAAUCUUUCUAUAUCUGAGAAAAUAUGAAACUAUUUAGGAAAUCUAGAUGUAUGAUCUUACUUUUUUUAUGACUGGGUUAGAGAGUUUGUAAUACGUGCCUCUUACAUGUAGGCUUUGAGUAUUGGUGGAUAGUUUAGAAGAAGAAAGCAUAGAUUUAACAAGAAUAAAGCUAAAAAAAUGUUAUACCUAAUCCAAUGAGUACGAAACUUUUACCAUUGUUCAAACAUAUAAUAAUGAGCCCACUAUAAAAAUUUUACCACAAAUGAACAAUAUGAAGUACAUAUAUGAUUUGUUCUUAUUAAUUAUAGAAAAACAUAGAUUUAAAGCUACAACAAAAACUUUGUACUAAAGCCUUGUUUAGUUCACCUCCAAAACCAAAAACUUUUCAAGAUUCCCUGUCACAUCGAAUGUUGCGGCACAUGCAUGGAGCAUUAAAUAUAGAUGAAAACAAAAACUAAUUGCACAGUUUGCCUGUAAAUCGUGAGACGAGUCUUUUAAACCUAGUUACUCUAUAAUUGGACAAUGUUUGUCAAAUAAAAACGAAAGUGCUACAGUGUUAGAAUCCCAAAAAAUUUUAGAUCUAAACAACGCCUAAAGUAUAUCAUAUUAUAUAUUCAUUCCGUAGAUCUACUCAUCAGGACCCCAACAAAAUUGAAUUUUUUAUUUUAUAUUUUUUUUGAUUUACUACAAUUUUUAAAAUAUUCAGCGGAAAUAAAUAAAUAAAAGACAAAACCACCCUCUAAAAUCACGGGUUAUUUAACCGGUUUUAAAAAUUCAGGGUGUAGAAUAUCCGGUUUAUAGUUUAGGGAUGAAGUAUUACAUCCUAAAUAGUUUGAGGGGUUAAUCUGCAUCCCACAAAUAAUUGCAUUUCUUUGACUUCUAUGAUUCAUGUUUGACCGUCCGUCUUAUUCAAAAAUAUAAUAAAUAUUAUUUUUUUAUUUAUGACUUAUUUUGUUGUUAGAUAAAUUUUUAUAAUGAUUUAUUUAUUUUAUCGUUUGAUAAAAAAUAAAUAAGAUGAAUAGUCAAACAUGAAUCGUAGCAGUCAAGAAAUGCAUUUAUUUUUGGGAUGAAGGGAGUAGCCUUUUUACUUUUUUCUUUUUUUCUCUAACCACCUCUUUAACCACCGAGAGGUUGAAAGAUAUCAGAAGCGCACCUCCUUUUUUUUCUAUCCAAAUACAUAUCACGCAACAUGGAAAAAAGAUGUAGGUGGACACGUGUGCCAAUGAAACAUUUCAGAUGACUUCAAGAGAGAUGAGAAAUCAUAGGGAAAAUAAGCGGUGGCAGUUUUUUUUUGUUUUCUGUUGGUACUUCGCUUGACCACCGAGAUGCUAGAAGAAAAUAUAAAAGGCCCCUCUUUUUUCUCCCUUUUAUUAUCUAGAACAGAGUACACAGCGGGCAGCACAAAUAAUUGAGAAAGAAAACACAAACAGGGUGCAAGUGGACACGUGACCCAAGAGAUAUUUUUAACUGCACACUGUAGCAGUAGGUGGAGUGAAUUUGGAGCGUUGAUCGAAGAAUCCAAUGGCUAAGAAUUUUGGGAUGACGUGUCCCAUGUAGGCUGCGCCCUUCAACCUGGCCAUUGUAGAGAGUACUAGUAAAGUUGAGCUAUGCUAAAUAAGACCUAAUUAGACUUAAAAAAUUCAUCACACAAGUUACAUGUAAACCAUAUAAUUAAUUAUUAUUUUUAUCUAUAUACAAUAUUAGAAACUUUUUUUUUAAGUAAACCAGGCCUGAAUAUCCGCUUGCGCAGUGGCGGUUGCUCCCUCGCCUGCGGAAGCGAUCCGUGGAACCCCUGGCUCGAAGAAGUGCCCAUGAUUCCAUAACCUCAUCACCUUCACUUGCUACUAGUGGAUUGUGCGCGCCCCGGCGCGCAAGAGCAAAUGAUACAACGGUGUUUUGAGCAAUACUAAAAAUAAAUAAUGAUAUAUGUUGAAAAUAUUAAAUAUCAUAGUCAUGCUUAUUAACAAUCAUCGAGUUUGUCAACCGGUACAUGGAAGGAUAGUAUGGCCUUGUUUAGUUCCUAAAAUAUUUUGCAAAAUUUUUCGCAUUCCCAUCACAUUUAAUCUUGCGGCACAUGCACGAAACACUAAAUAUAGAUAAAAGAAAUAACUAAUUACACAAUUUAUCUGUAAUUUGUGAGAAGAAUCUUUUGAGUCUAGUUAGUCCAUGAUUGGACAAUAGUUGUCAAAUACAAACGAAAGUGCUAUUGUUCAUAUUUUGCAAAAAAAAUUGGAACUAAACAAGGCAUAUGUUACAAAAGUAUUGUACACCUGCGAUGAUAUGGCAUAAGGUAAAAGCAGUCUUCGGUUGGCUAAAAACAUAGUGUUUAUUUUGUGUUUCUUUUCAAGCUGCAUAGAAGGAUGAUCAGUAGUUCAUGCUGCGGUCGGAUUCGCAGCUAAAUUCAUGUUCGCUUGAGUUCCGCACCGGCGAAAAUCUUUCUAUAUCUGAGAAAAUAUGAAACUAUUUAGGAAAUCUAGAUGUAUGAUCUUACUUUUUUUAUGACUGGGUUAGAGAGUUUGUAAUACGUGCCUCUUACAUGUAGGCUUUGAGUAUUGGUGGAUAGUUUAGAAGAAGAAAGCAUAGAUUUAACAAGAAUAAAGCUAAAAAAAUGUUAUACCUAAUCCAAUGAGUACGAAACUUUUACCAUUGUUCAAACAUAUAAUAAUGAGCCCACUAUAAAAAUUUUACCACAAAUGAACAAUAUGAAGUACAUAUAUGAUUUGUUCUUAUUAAUUAUAGAAAAACAUAGAUUUAAAGCUACAACAAAAACUUUGUACUAAAGCCUUGUUUAGUUCACCUCCAAAACCAAAAACUUUUCAAGAUUCCCUGUCACAUCGAAUGUUGCGGCACAUGCAUGGAGCAUUAAAUAUAGAUGAAAACAAAAACUAAUUGCACAGUUUGCCUGUAAAUCGUGAGACGAGUCUUUUAAACCUAGUUACUCUAUAAUUGGACAAUGUUUGUCAAAUAAAAACGAAAGUGCUACAGUGUUAGAAUCCCAAAAAAUUUUAGAUCUAAACAACGCCUAAAGUAUAUCAUAUUAUAUAUUCAUUCCGUAGAUCUACUCAUCAGGACCCCAACAAAAUUGAAUUUUUUAUUUUAUAUUUUUUUUGAUUUACUACAAUUUUUAAAAUAUUCAGCGGAAAUAAAUAAAUAAAAGACAAAACCACCCUCUAAAAUCACGGGUUAUUUAACCGGUUUUAAAAAUUCAGGGUGUAGAAUAUCCGGUUUAUAGUUUAGGGAUGAAGUAUUACACCCUAAAUAGUUUGAGGGGUUAAUCUGCAUCCCACAAAUAAUUGCAUU